rnacentral:rRNA from 1 species
GAUGAACGCUGGCGGCGGGCCUAAUACAUGCGAGUCGAGCGAACGGACGAGAAGCUUGCUUCUCUGAUGUUAGCGGCGGACGGGUGAGUAACACGUGGAUAACCUACCUAUAAGACUGGGAUAACUUCGGGAAACCGUAGCUAAUACCGGAUAAUAUUUUCAACCGCAUGGUUCAAAAGUGAAAGACGGUCUUGCUGUCACUUAUAGAUGGAUCCGCGCUGCAUUAGCUAGUUGGUAAGGUAACGGCUUACCAAGGCAACGAUGCAUAGCCGACCUGAGAGGGUGAUCGGCCACACUGGAACUGAGACACGGUCCAGACUCCUACGGGAGGCAGCAGUAGGGAAUCUUCCGCAAUGGGCGAAAGCCUGACGGAGCAACGCCGCGUGAGUGAUGAAGGUCUUCGGAUCGUAAAACUCUGUUAUUAGGGAAGAACAUAUGUGUAAGUAACUGUGCACAUCUUGACGGUACCUAAUCAGAAAGCAACGGCUAACUACGUG